UGAUGUUACUUUGAAAAGAAGCUGCACGAGCCGUGGAACGAAGAAAAAAAAAAGACCCGAAAAAAGUGUCUGCUUAAACUACUACUACUACUGAAACUGUUCCGGGAGGAGGGAACUUGUAGCUGUAAUGCACCAGUCACCAUAAAACCUCAAAAAAGAAGGAGGGAAAUUUAAAAAAAAGAAAACUAACGCGGCAUGAUGUCAGAUGCAGAAAAGGUGGUCGCGUGCAUCAGCUCCUAUAUAAAAUCGCAGCAAGGCGCUCCAGGAUGGCGUGUUCGACCUGGUCCAGAUUGGUGGCCCGUCCAGAAUGGAACAACCUGCUUCCUGCUCACGGAGACCUGGUCGGACGCACCAUAUACAAAAGCCUGAGGCUGUCAAAAAAAGAUUGAUCUUCAUGAAGUUCGUCAAAUAGUAAGGUGUCAUGAUUCAAUUCUGGGUGGCCGCUGUGUCCCCACUCUUUCUUGGCCGCUGUGCCUACAUCUCUCUGCAUUGUCCAACAUGGCCACGUUCUUUCCAUUCUCCUGCUUUCCAUCUGUCAAAUAGCUGAGGGUUGUAUAUGGAGCAUUUGCCACAGGUUGGUUUUGUAUGUUCCUGUCCACUUUAUUGGGUGGUCUGAUCUGGUCCUUGUUGGUUAUAUUUUUGUGGAACUGCUGAGUGAGUGAUUUGAAAGAAUGAGGUGACUGAUGGAGUGUUUGAAAUUCUCUCUCUGAAGGAAUGGGUUGUGUGUGACUGAGAUGCUUGGAUUUGAAUAGUUAAGAUGGUCUGAUAAUAUGAUUAUGUUCAGCAGUUCACAUUAAAGUAGAUAUGGUGUCUUUAAGGGCUUAGCUGCUUGAUAAGUUAUAAUGCACUAACAUUUCCUUUUUAGGUCCGUCUACAAAGGGUGAGUCCAUAUUUUUUUAUUUCUUCUCAGGGGGCUACCGUCUUGGCCUCCAUGUGUGGUAGGGUUUGCAGAGUAGGGGAAUAAACAAAAGAAAACGUCUGUGUUGUGUUUUUUUGGAAAGUGAAGGUACUUAGGUGUCGGCAACUGACUUGCUAGUCCGGCUGCUCACAGCUAACUACUGAAUCAAACAUGCAAAGGGAGAACACGGCUCUCUAUGGAGGCGUUUUCUUGCCUUGCCACUGUGCCAUUAACCACUUUUUCGUUCCAACACUUACGCAGGCCGCGGGCCAUCGCUCUUCCGGCUGCCAUGUCGAUCUGUCCUGGCUCUCUUGCCUUUCCUCACUUCUAAAAGGCGCAAAAAAAAUAUCAACUUGAAUUGUUUUCUUUAGCACUAAAAUAUAGUGAUGUUGGAGGACCAGAUCUUAAAUGAGGUUUAAAUAGAUGUUGGUGUACAGUUAAAACUAGAUGGUAGGAAUAAAAUUAAUGUUGUACCUUGUACACUCUGUCACAAGGCUUAGACUACUUGGCCGCUGUGCCUUUUUUUUCUUUUCUCUUUUCCACCGUGGCCAUUAAUCUACCGUUAGCCCUAGCACGUUAAAAUAGAUCCUGGUGAGUUACACUGGAUCUGGCUUUGGAUUGCAGCUGUGCCAUUGCCUUUGUAUUGCCAUACGUCCCUUAAUGCAAGUAGGCAAUGAUUGCUAACUGUGCCCGCGCCUUCGUGGUCUACUUGUGUUAUUGUACGUCUGGCAUUGCGCGUAUAGUCAUUUUACAUAGGCAAACAUGGGUGCCUUCCGCGUCCAUGCACAGUAAGUGAACUAACCUGUACUUUUCUUCUAGCAUCAGUCAAGAGGAGCACCGACAUCACUGCAUGUCCAUCCUAAUUAGAUUGCGUUUUAGUUAAAAUUUAAAUUUCUAAUUUUGAGUGCAGUUUUUCCUUCUUGCUUGGCCGCCGUGCCAUUACUAUACCUGCUCUGACCUGAAUCUUGAUUCUUCAUGGCCACUGUGUCAUGACUGUACUUGGUCUUGGUGUCUAUGCCAGUCUAUAAUUUCUGAUCUGUUUCUCUCUCUGUGUGUGUGUGUGUGUGUGUGUGUGUGUGUGUGUGUGUGUGUGUGUGUGUGUGUGUGUGUGUGUGUGUGUGUGUGUGUGUGUGUGUGUGUGUGUGUGUGUGUGUGUGUGUGUGUGUGUGUGUGUGUGUGUGUGUGUGUGUGUGUGUUUUGACUGACUUGGACUGACGUUAAUCUGACCUUUGGACCAAGACUAACACUCCAAUUGAUUUACUGCACCAGAAAGGUGAACAAAAUUUAUGCUGCAAGACUGGCAAGCAAAUUAAAAAAAAAUAAAAAACAGGUAAAAUUUUUACCUUUCAGGUAAGUAUUAAAGGCCUUUGCCACAUGAUCUUUUUGGGUAAAUUGUGUCCACUCAAUUUAUAAAGUUAAUUUGCAUCUAAACCUUUACAAUGCCUGACACAAUGGCAUUACAAUUUUUUUUGUUUUGCGUUACUGAGUGCAAAGGCCUUUAUUUACACACCGACGCAUGCCAAGACUGCCGUCAUGGCAUGUGUCUCUCUCUCUCUCUGUCUCUCUCUCUCUCUCUAUCUGUCUCUCUCUCUCUCUCUAUCUGUCUCUCUGUCUCUGUGUGUUCUGUGUGUCUUUCUGUCGGUUGUGUGUCUGGUAUCCGUCUGUCUGUCCUGUGUGUCAGAUUUAGUCUCAACUUAACUGGAGGAUUUUAAAGUUGAUUAGUCUUGAGGUGUUAUUACUGCCUUAUUUUGGAAUGGCUUUAAUUUAAAAAUUGUAUUUUGGACUGUUGACAAACGUGGAAGCUGAUGAAUCAUGUAGUAAAUGCAUCAGUUUUCUGUAGUUUGUCUAAAGUUCUUUCAAAGUGCUAUAAACAUUUUGUAAUUGAUUAUGAUGAGCUAUACCAGGUCUUUUAUUCUCAACUGGUAAUUGCUUUGAUAAGAUAACUUGUUCCUGAUUUGAUUAUGAAGCUAAACAUAUGAUUUAUACGCAAGCGUAGUUUGUAGGUGUUAUUCAGUCCAUGGAUAAUGUUAUGAUAUACUUUAAAUCUGGCAUUUGUUGGCACACUUUUGAUAUCCUUUUAAGUCUUAAACUUUACGCACUGCCAUCAGCCUUUGUAGUCGCUAACUGAAAUCGAAUUCAAUAUUAAUACUGACUUGUCUCACUCUGCCAAGUUUAUUUCCCUCUAAAGGAGUUGAACCUUUUUGUAUUCAUAGUCUUUUUGCGCGUCAUGUUGGGAGGCCUCCCAGCAGGGGAUUUUUAUCUUCCCCUGCAAAACUAUGCGUUACUCGCCUUAGGGAUGCAGGGCUAUCCUGCAUAGUUUUUCAUAAAUCAGAUUGUAGGUUGCAGGAUUAGAGCGCGUUUCUUUUCUUUAGAAGGACACAAACCUGGCAGAGAGACAACUCGGGUUAUUUAAGUGAAAGUUCCGCCAA